CCUACGGGAGGCAGCAGUAGGGAAUAUUGCUCAAUAGGGGAAACCCUGAAGCAGCAACGCCGCGUGGAGGAUGAAGGUUUUCGGAUUGUAAACUCCUUUUGUUAGAGAAGAUAAUGACGGUAUCUAACGAAUAAGGACCGGCUAACUCCGUGCCAGCAGCCGCGGUAAUACGGAGGGUGCAAGCGUUACUCGGAAUCACUGGGCGUAAAGAGCGCGUAGGCGGGAUAGCAAGUCAGAUGUGAAAUCCUAUGGCUUAAGCAUAGAACUGCAGUUGAAACUGUUAUUCUAGAGUAUGCGAGAGGUAGGUGGGAUUCUUGGUGUAGGGGUAAAAUCCGUAGAUAUCGAGAAGAAUACUCAUUGCGAAGGCGACCUGCUAGAACAUAACUGACGCUGAUGCGCGAAAGCGUGGGUAGCAAACAGGAUUAGAUACCCUUGUAGUC
rnacentral:rRNA from 1 species